CUCUGGUAACAUCACAAGAUUUAUUAACUUUGGCAUGAACAAACCCUUCAACACCGAGUAGCAUAUAAUCCAAUCACGAAAAAAAAAAGCUGAACAACCCAGAACAUGUGAUGCCUUUAUUUUGCAUGUGGACUCAUAUCAAAUAUAGCGGGUGCAGCGCAGAGCAUCUGAAGAUAUUGAACGCAUCCCGCUCACUGCGGCAUACAGAAAUUUGUUGGCAAUCGACGGCGGUCAUCUCUUGUCCGAUGGCUCAAUCCUGACCACUUCUCCUGUCGUCAAGUCAUCACAGCUUCGCAGGCACGACCAUGAGCAGAGCAUAAACAACCAUGCCAUAAAUAUCUGAUCAUCGAGAAGCACAACCUAAAACAUUGAAUGAAUAGAGCAUUACAGCCCAAGAGGUAGAAUAACACGUACAUUCACAAUGUUGUUCUAAGCAUAGUCGAAAUUGUUGGGGAACGUUGCAGAAAAUUAAAAAUUUUCCUACGGUUUCACCAAGAUCCAUCUAUGAGUUCAUCUAAGCAAUGAGUCAUGGGAGAGAGAUUGCAUCUACAUACCACUUGUAGAUCGCGUGCGGAAGCGUUCAAGGGAACGGGGAUGAUGGAGUCGUACUCGCCGUGAUCCAAAUCACCGAUGACCAAGUGCUGAACGGACAGCACCUCCGCGUUCAACACACAUACGGAACGGACGACGUCUCCUCCUUCUUGAUCCAGCAAGGGGAAAGGAGAGGUUGAGGAAGAAGGCUCCAGCAGCAGCACGACGGCGUGGUGUUGGUGGAGAGGCAGUACUCCGACAGGGCUUCGCCAAGCGCUAACGGAGGAGGAGAGGUGUUGGGGAGGGGAGGGGCUGCACCUUGGAUCAGGUGUUCAGCCCUCCCCUCGCCCCUCUAUUUAUAGGGGAAGGGGAAAGGGGGCCGGCCCCCUCUAGAUGAGAUCUAGAGGGGGGGCGGCCAGGGAGGGGGCUUGCCCCCCAAGCAAAGGGGGUGCGCCCCCCUUAGGGUUCCCCCCCCACCAACCCUAGGCGCAUGGGCCCAAGGGGGGGUGCCCCAGCCCUCCAGGGGCUGGUUCCCUGCCCCAUGCGGCCCAUGGGGCCCUCCGAGAGGGGUGGCCCCUCCCGAUGGACCCCCGGAACCCUUCUGGUGGCCCCGGUACAAUACCGAUAUGCCCCCGAAACUUUCCGGUGUCCGCAUGACAACUUUCCAUAUAUAAAUCUUUACCUUCGGACCCUUCCGGAACUCCUCGUGACGUCAGGGAUCUCAUCCGAGACUCCGAACAACAUUCGGUAAUCACAUACAAGUCUUCCUAAUAACCCUAGCGUCAUUGAACCUUAAGUGUGUAGACCCUACGGGUUCGGGAGGCAUGUAGACAUGACCGAGACGGCUCUCCGGUCAAUAACCAACAGCGGGAUCUGGAUACCCAUGUUGGCUCCCACAUGCUCCUCGAUGAUGUCAUUGGAUGAACCACGAUGUCGAGGAUUCAAUCAACCCCGUAUAUUAUUCCCUUUGUCAAUCGGUACGUUACGUGCCCGAGACUCGAUCGUCGGUAUCCCAAUACCUCGUUCAGUCUCGUUACCGGCAAGUCACUUUACUCGUACCGUAAUGCAUGAUCCCGUGACCAAACACUUGGUCACUUUGAGCUCAUUAUGAUGAUGCAUUACCGAGUGGGCCCAGAGAUACCUCUCUGUCAUACGGAGUGACAAAUCCCAGUCUCGAUCCGUGUCAACCCAACAGACACUUUCGGAGAUACCUGUAGUGCACCUUUAUAGUCACCCAGUUACGUUGUGACGUUUGGUACACCCAAAGCACUCCUACGGUAUCCGAAAGUUACAUGAUCUCAUGGUCUAAGGAAGAUAUACUUGACAUUGGAAAAGCUCUAGCAAAACGAACUACACGAUCUUGUGCUAUGCUUAGGAUUGGGUCUUGUCCAUCACGUCAUUCUCCUAAUGACAUGAUCCCGUUGUCAAUGACAUCUAAUGUCCAUAGUUAGGAAACCAUGACUAUCUGUUGACCAACGAGCUAGUCAACUAGAGGCUUACUAGGGACGUGUUGUGGUCUAUGUAUUCACACGUGUAUUACGAUUUCCGGAUAAUACAAUUAUAGCAUGAAUAAAAGACAAUUAUCAUGAACAAGGAAAUAUAAUAAUAAUACUUUUAUUAUUGCCUCUAGGGCAUAUUUCCAACAGUCUCCCACUUGCACUAGAGUCAAUAAUCUAGUUACAUUGUGAUGAAUCGAACACCCAUAGAGUUCCGGUGUUGAUCAUGUUUUGCUCGUGAGAGAGGUUUAGUCAAUGGAUCUGCGACAUUCAGAUCCGUAUGCACUUUGCAAAUAUCUAUGUCUCCAUCUUGAACAUUUUCACGGAUGGAGUUGAAGCGACGCUUGAUGUGCCUGGUCUUCUUGUGAAACCUGGGCUCCUUGGCAAGGGCAAUAGCUCCAGUGUUGUCACAGAAGAGUUUGAUCGGCCCCGACGCAUUGGGUAUGACUUCUAGGUCGGUGAUGAACUCCUUCACCCAAAUUGCUUCAUGCGCUGCCUCCGAGGCUGCCAUGUACUCCGCUUCACAUGUAGAUCCCGCCACGACGCUCUGCUUGCAGCUGCACCAGCUUACUGCUCCACCAUUCAACAUAUACACGUAUCCGGUUUGUGACUUAGAGUCAUCCAGAUCUGUGUCGAAGCUAGCGUCGACGUAACCCUUUACGACGAGCUCUUCGUCACGUCCAUAAACGAGAAACAUGUCCUUUGUCCUUCAGGAUAUUCUUGACCGCUGUCCAGUGUUCCUUGCCGGAAUUACUUUGGUACCUUCCUACCAAACUUACGACAAGGUUUACAUCAGGUCUGGUACACAACAUGGCAUACAUAAUAGAUCCUAUGGCUGAGGCAUAGGGGAUGACGCUCAUCUCUUCUUUAUCUUUUGCCGUGGUUGGGCAUUGAGCCGAGCUCAAUCUCACACCUUGCAGUACAGGCAAGAACCCUUUCUUGGACUGAUCCAUUUUGAAAUUCUUCAAAAUCUUAUCAAGGUAUGUGCUUUGUGAAAGACCUAUGAGGCGUCUCGAUCUAUCCCUAUAGAUCUUGAUGCCUAAUAUGUAAGCAGCUUCUCCAAGGUCCUUCAUUGAAAAACACUUAUUCAAGUAGGCCUUAAUGUUGUCCAAGAAUUUCUAUAUCAUUUCCCAUCAAAAGUAUGUCAUCUACAUAUAAUAUGAGAAAUGCUACAGAGCUCCCACUCACUUUCUUGUAAACGCAGGCUUCUCCAUAAGUCUGCAUAAACCCAAACGCUUUGAUCAUCUCAUCAAAGCGAAUGUUCCAACUCCGAGAUGCUUGCACCAGCCCAUAAAUGGAUCGCUGGAGCUUGCAUACUUUGUUAGCAUUCUUAGGAUCGACAAAACCUUUCGGCUGCAUCAUAUACAGUUCUUCCUUAAGAUGCCCGUUAAGGAAUGCCAUUUUGACGUCCAUCUGCCAUAUCUCAUAAUCACAGUAUGCGGCAAUUGCUAACAUGAUUCGGACGGACUUAAGCUUCGCUACAGGAGAGAAAGUCUCAUCGUAGUCAAUCCCUUGAACUUGCCGAUAACCCUUAGCGACAAGUCGAGCUUUAUAGAUGGUGACAUUACCAUCCGCGUCCGUCUUUUUUUUAAAGAUCCAUUUGUUUUCUAUUGCUCGCCGAUCAUCGGGCAAGUCAGUCAAAGUCCAUACUUUGUUUUCAUACAUGGAUUCUAUCUCGGAUUUCAUGGCUUCUAGCCAUUUGUUGGAAUCUGGGCCCGCCAUCGCUUCUUCAUAGUUCGAAGGUUCACCGUUAUCUAACAACAUGAUUUCCAGGACAGGGUUGCCAUACCACUCUGGUGCGGAACGAGUCCUUAUGGACCUACGAAGUUCAGUAGCAACUUGAUCAUAAGUACCUUGAUCAUCAUCAUUAAUUUCCUCUCCAGUCGGUGUAGGCACCACAGGAAUGUUUUCCUGAGCUGCACUACUUUCCGGUUCAAGAGGUGGUACUUCAUUGAGUUCUACCUUCCUCCCACUUACUCCUUUCGAGAGAAACUCUUUUUCCAGAAAGGAUCCGUUCUUGGCAACGAAGAUCUUGCCCUCGGAUCUUAAGUAGAAGGUAUACCCAAUGGUUUCCUUAGGGUAUCCUAUGAAGACGCAUUUUUUCGACUUGGGUUCGAGCUUUUCAGGUUGAAGUUUCUUGACAUAAGCAUCACAUCCCCAAACUUUUAGAAACGACAGCUUAGGUUUCUUCCCAAACCAUAAUUCAUAUGGUGUCGUCUCAACGGAUUUAGACGGUGCCCUAUUUAAAGUGAAUGUAGCUGUCUCUAGAGCGUAUCCCCAAAAUGAUAGCGGUAAAUCGGUAAGAGACAUCAUAGAUCGCACCAUAUCCAAUAGAGUGCAAUUACGACGUUCGAACACACCGUUACGCUGAGGUGUUCCAGGCGGCGUGAGUUGUGAAACGAUUCCACAUUUUCUUAAGUGUGUACCAAAUUCGUGACUUAAAUAUUCUCCUCCAUGAUUCGAUCGUAAGAACUUUAUCUUUCGGUCACGUUGAUUCUCUACUUUAUUCUGAAAUUCCUUGAACUUUUCAAAGGUCUCAGACUUGUGUUUCAUCAAGUAGACAUACCCAUAUCUACUCAAGUCAUCAGUGAGAGUGAGAACAUAACGAUAUCCUCCGCGAGCCUCAACGCUCAUUGGACCACACACAUCAGUAUGUAUGAUUUCCAAUAAGUUGGUUGCUCGCUCCAUUGUUCCGGAGAACGGGGUCUUGGUCAUUUUGCCCAUGAGGCAUGGUUCGCAUGUGUCAAAUGAUUCAUAAUUUAGAGACUCUAAAAGUCCAUCAACAUGGAGCUUCUUCAUGCGCUUGACACCAAUGUGACCAAGGCGGCAGUGCCACAAGUAUGUGGGACUAUCGUUAUCAACUUUACAUCUUUUGGUAUUCACACUAUGGAUAUGUGUAACAUUACGUUCGAGAUUCAUUAAGAAUAAACCAUUGACCAUCGGGGCAUGAACAUAAAACAUAUCUCUCAUAUAAAUAGAACAACCAUUAUUCUCGGAUUUAAAUGAGUAGCCAUCUCGUAUUAAACGAGAUCCAGAUACAAUGUUCAUGCUCAAACUUGGCACUAAAUAACAAUUAUUGAGCUUUAAAACUAAUCCCGUAGGUAAAUGUAGAGGUAGCGUGCCGACGGCGAUCACAUCGACCUUGGAACCAUUCCCGACGCGCAUCGUCACCUCGUUCUUCGCCAGUCUCCUCUUAUUCCGCAGCUCCUGCUGUGAGUUACAAAUGUGAGCAACAGCACCGGUAUCAAAUACCCAGGAGUUACUACGAGUACUGGUAAGGUACACAUCAAUUACAUGUAUAUCAAAUAUACCUUUAGUGUUGUCGGCCUUCUUGUCUGCUAAGUAUUUGGGGCAGUUCCGCUUCCAGUGACCCUUCCCCUUGCAAUAAAAGCACUCAGUCUCAGGCUUGGGUCCAUUCUUUGACUUAUUCCCGACAACUGGCUUACCGGGCGCGGUAACAUCUUUGUCGUCCUUCUUGAAGUUCUUCUUACCCUUGCCCUUCUUGAACUUAGUGGUCUUAUUGACCAUCAACACUUGAUGUUCUUUCUUGAUUUCAACCUCUGCUGACUUCAGCAUUGAGAAUACUUCAGGAAUGCUCUUCACCAUCCCCUGCAUAUUGUAGUUCAACACAAAGCUCUUGUAGCUCGGUGGGAGCGACUGAAGGAUUCUGUCAAUGACCGCCUCUUCCGGGAGAUUGAUCUCCAACUGGGACAGGCGGUUGUGCAACCCAGACAUUUUGAGUAUGUGCUCACUGACAGAACUGUUUUCCUCCAUCUUACAACUAUAGAACUUGUCGGAGACUUCAUAUCUCUUGACCCGGGCAUGAGCUUGGAAAACCAUUUUCAGCUCCUCGAACAUCUCAUAUGCUCUAUGCUUCUCAAAACGCUUUUGGAGCCCCGGAUCUAAGCUGUAAAGCAUGCCGCACUGAACGAGGGAGUAAUCAUCAGCACGUGAUUGCUAAGUGUUCAUAACGUCUUGGUUCUUUGGGAUGGGUGCUUCACCUAGCGGUGCAUCUAGGACAUAAUCUUUCUUGGCUGCUAUGAGGAUGAUCCUCAGGUUCCGGACCCAGUCCGAAUAGUUGCUGCCAUCAUCUUUCAGCUUGGUUUUCUCUAGGAACGUGUUGAAGUUCAUGUUGACAUGAGCGUUGGCCAUUUGAUCUACAAGACAUAUUUUGCAAAAGUUUUAGACUAAGUUCAUGAUAAUUAAGUUCAUCUAAUCAAAUUAUUUAAUGAACUCCCACUCAGAUUAGACAUCCCUCUAGUCAUCUAAGUGUUACACGAUCCGAGUCGACUAGGCCGUGUCCGAUCAUCGCGUGAGACGGACUAGUCAUCAUCGGUGAACAUCUCCAUGUUGAUCAUAUCUUCCAUACGACUCAUGUUCGACCUUUCGGUCUCUGUGUUCCGAGGCCAUGUCUAUACAUGCUAGGCUCGUCAAGUUAACCCUAAGUAUUCUGCAUGUGUAAAUCUGUCUUAUACCUGUUGUAUGUGAACAUAAGGAUCUAUCACACCCGAUCAUCAUGUGGUGCUUCGAAAUGACGAACUUUAGCAAUGGUGCACAGUUAGGGGGAACACUUUCUUGAAAUUAUUAUAAGGGAUCAUCUUAUUUACUACCGCCGUUCUAAGUAAACAAGAUGCAUAAAACAUAAUAAACAUCACAUGCAAUUAUAUAGUAGUGACAUGAUAUGGCCAAUAUCAUAUAGCUCCUUCGAUCUCCAUCUCCGGGGCUCCAUGAUCAUCUUCGUCACCGGCAUGACACCGUGAUAUCCAUCAUCAUGAUCUCCAUCAUUGUGUCUUCAUGAAGUUGUCACGCCAACGACUACUUCUACUUCUAUGGCUAACGCGUUUAGCAAUAAAGUAAAGUAAUUUACAUGGCGUUCUUUAAUGACACGCAGGUCAUACAAAAAUAAAGACAACUCCUAUGGCUCCUGCCGGUUGUCAUACUCAUCGACAUGCAAGUCGUGAUUCCUAUUACAAGAACAUGAUCUCAUACAUCACAAUAUAUCAUUCAUCAUUCAUCACAACUUCUGGCCAUAUCACAUCACAUGACAAUUGCUGCAAAAACAAGUUAGACGUCCUCUAAUUGUUGUUGCAUCUUUUACGUGGCUGCAAUUGGGUUCUAGCAAGAACGUUUUCUUACCUACGAAUAACCACAACGUGAUUUUGUCAACUUCUAUUUACCCUUCAUAAGGACCCUUUUCAUCUAAUCCGCUCCAACUAAAGUAGGAGAGACAAACACCCGCUAGCCACCUUAUGCAACUAGUGCAUGUCAGUCGGUGGAACCUGUCUCACGUAAGCGUACGUGUAAGGUCAGUCCGGGUCGCUUCAUUCCACAAUACCGCUGAAGAAAGAAAAGACUAGUAGCGGCAAGCAAGUUGACAAGAUCUACGCCCACAACAAAAUUGUGUUCUACUCGUGCAAUAGAGAACUACGCAUAGACCUAGCUCAUGAUGCCACUGUUGGGGAACGUUGCAGAAAAUUAAAAUUUUUCCUACGGUUUCACCAAGAUCCAUCUAUGAGUUCAUCUAAGCAACGAGUCAUGGGAGAGAGAUUGCAUCUACAUACCACUUGUAGAUCGCGUGCGGAAGCGUUCAAGGGAACGGGGAUGAUGGAGUCGUACUCGCUGUGAUCCAAAUCACCGAUGACCAAGUGCUGAACGGACAGCACCUCCGCGUUCAACACACAUACGGAACGGACGACGUCUCCUCCUUCUUGAUCCAGCAAGGGGAAAGGAGAGGUUGAGGAAGAAGGCUCCAGCAGCAGCACGACGGCGUGGUGUUGGUGGAGAGGCAGUACUCCGACAGGGCUUCGCCAAGCGCUAACGGAGGAGGAGAGGUGUUGGGGAGGGGAGGGGCUGCGCCUUGGAUCGGGUGUUCAGCCCUCCCCUCGCCCCUCUAUUUAUAGGGGAAGGGGAAAGGGGGGCGGCCCCCUCUAGAUGAGAUCUAGAGGGGGGGCCAGGGAGGAGGCUUGCCCCCCAAGCAAAGGGGGUGCGCCCCCCUUAGGGUUCCCCCCCAACCCUAGGCGCGUGGGCCCAAGGGGGAGGGGCGCCCCCAGCCCUCCAGGGGCUGGUUCCCUGCCCCAUGCGGCCCAUGGGGCCCUCCGAGAGGGGUGGCCCCUCCCGGUGGACCCCCGGAACCCUUCCGGUGGCCCCGGUACAAUACCGAUAUGCCCCCGAAACUUUCCGGUGUCCGCAUGACAACUUCCCAUAUAUAAAUCUUUACCUCCGGACCCUUCCAGAACUCCUCAUGAUGUCCGGGAUCUUAUUUGGGACUCCGAACAACAUUCGGUAAUCACAUACAAGUCUUCCUAAUAACCCUAGCGUCACCGAACCUUAAGUGUGUAGACCCUACGGGUUCGGGAGGCAUGCAGACAUGACUGAGACGGCUCUCCGGUCAAUAACCAACAGCGGGAUCUGGAUACCCAUGUUGGCUCCCACAUGCUCCUCGAUGAUGUCAUCGGAUGAACCACGAUGUCGAGGAUUCAAUCAACCCCGUAUACUAUUCCCUUUGUCAAUCGGUACGUUACGUGCCCGAGACUCGAUCGUCGGUAUCCCAAUACCUCAUUCAGUCUCGUUACCGGCAACUCACUUUACUCGUACCAUAAUGCAUGAUCCCGUGACCAAACACUUGGUCACUUUGAGCUCAUUAUGAUGAUGCAUUACCGAGUGGGCUUAGAGAUACCUCUCCGUCAUACGGAGUGACAAAUCCCAGUCUCGAUCUGUGUCAACCCAACAGACACUUUCGGAGAUACCUAUAGUGCACCUUUAUAGUCACCCAGUUACGUUAUGACAUUUGGUACACCCAAAGCACUCCUACGGUAUCCGGGAGUUACAUGAUCUCAUGGUCUAAGGAAGAGAUACUUGACAUUGGAAAAGCUCUAGCAAAACGAACUACACGAUCUUGUGCUAUGCUUAGGAUUGGGUCUUGUCCAUCACGUCAUUCUCCUAAUGACGUGAUCCCGUUGUCAAUGACAUCUAAUGUCCAUAGUCAGGAAACCAUGACUAUCUGUUGACCAACGAGCUAGUCAACUAGAGGCUUACUAGGGACGUAUUGUGGUCUAUAUAUUCACACGUGUAUUACGAUUUACGAAUAAUACAAUUAUAGCAUGAAUAAAAGACAAUUAUCAUGAACAAGGAAAUAUAAUAAUAAUACUUUUAUUAUUGCCUCUAGGGCAUAUUUCCAACAGAAAUGCCAUGCAAACUAAGUACAACAUGUUAAACGCUCGAUAAAGAAAUCCCUAGUAAAAAGUAUAUCAUUCAAUAUACGUAUACAUGUAUAAUGUUAGAGGCACUUGAUCCUUGGCAAGUAGUACAGGGGAACAUCAGGAGAAGAAGGAAAAGUUGGAAAACAUGACCGGCCUGUAUUAGCAGUUCAUGUGCGCUUGUAAAUGAAUUAGUGAGUUCAAUGUGGCCCAUCCUUCCAGAUAUAGAAAAUAUAUGUUGAUAUUUUAAAUAACCAAUAAAUUUAUCUGCAUCAUGCAACAUAAAAUUGAAGCCCAAUAAGAUUAUGAAUAACACACAGAUGGAAAGCCUACAAUGGAUUUAACACACAAACAUCUCAAAACUGCUACUGUCCUCCCUAGCAUAUAUUCAAUAACAGAUGUAGCAAAGAUUACCUUUGACUGCAAAAACGUUUACUUUUACUGGAAAUUGUUGAGUUCCUCCACCACAUAUGUACACAUGCAGCUAUCCGAAGUGAAAUUCUGUUUUCUGUAGCACUCAAAGUAUCACAAAAGAUAUUUAAUGAUGUCAGUUUUUUUCUUGAAGAGACCAAGGGGAAUAAGGUUGAGCGGGGAAGACGUACAUGAUACAUCAUCCAACGGCUGCAAAAAAUGAAUACCACCUGGUAGAAACUAAUCACACAUUUAAACGUCUAAGCAAAGCAGGACAUGCAACAAAAAAUCCAAAGAGAAUAAUACCAUGGCUUUAAUGCCCCAAUCACUAUUCAGGGGUCUUGUAUCAGGCAUGCCGCUGCUACUGU
rnacentral:lncRNA from 1 species